CGCUUGUCCACCAUAUUGGCUCUGUUGGACCAUCGUGAUCAAACCCAUUUUCAGCUCAAAGUUGUUAACGUUCACUCGUGGAGGCUCCUGAUACACAUACUGCGGAAUGAACGCUUCAUUUAUGGCUGGUUUUUUCUGAGCCUCUUUAGCAGCUUGAGCGUCCAACAGCUGUUGCAGCUGCUCAUGUAGAGCACGAAUCUGUUCAUUAGUAGCCAUCGUGUGCAGUGCCUGAAAAAAA
rnacentral:lncRNA from 1 species